rnacentral:rRNA from 1 species
CACGUAGGCACCAAGCGUUGUCCGGAUUUAUUGGGCGUAAAGAGCUCGUAGGCUGUUCGGUAAGUCGGGUGUGAAACCCCCAGGCUCAACCUGGGGACGCCACCUGAUACUGCUGUGACUCGAGUCCGGUAGGGGAGCGUGGAAUUCCUGGUGUAGCGGUGAAAUGCGCAGAUAUCAGGAGGAACACCAAUGGCGAAGGCAGCUCGCUGGGACGGUACUGACGCUGAGGCGCGAAAGCGUGGGGAGCAAACAGG